AUUGAACGCUGGCGGCAGGCCUAACACAUGCAAGUCGAACGAGUGGCGGACGGGUGAGUAAUGUCUGGGAAACUGCCUGAUGGAGGGGGAUAACUACUGGAAACGGUAGCUAAUACCGCAUACCAUCAGAUGUGCCCAGAUGGGAUUAGCUAGUUGGUGGGGUAACGGCUCACCAAGGCGACGAUCCCUAGCUGGUCUGAGAGGAUGACCAGCCACAAUGGGACUGAGACACGGCCCAUACUCCUACGGGAGGCAGCAGUGGGGAAUUUUACGCAAUGGGGGAAACCCUGACGUAGCGACACCGCGUGAGCGAAGAAGCCCUUUGGGGUGUAAAGCUCUGUCAACAGGCGGUACCUGUGGAGGAAGCAUCGGCUAACUACGUGCCAGCAGCCGCGGUAAUAC
rnacentral:rRNA from 1 species